GUUGCUUUAGGGCCUCCUAAAUUGCUGAGGCUGUCUUUGAACUUGCCUUUCUCCUGCCUUAGCCUCCUGAGUUGCUGGGAUUACAGGCAUGUGCCACUGUAUCUGAAAGCAAUGCUUUUAGUAGCUCCAAAAUGUUGACUACUCCAAGAGGAUCACUAUCAAAUUUGGCUAGAUAAAUCAAUUGUAUAUCCACACAACGAAAUCCAAGACAGGGUUUAUAUGAACAGAGGAUACUAAAAAUAAAUAAAUAAAUAAACAGCAUGAACCUCAUGAACAUAAUAAAUUAAACAAACCGAGAACAAAAGUUUAUUUGUUGAAAUGGCUCCACUCACCUACUGUGCAAAUGCAGGGAUACUACCCUAUGCUCUUAAAAGUCAGGAUAGUGGUCACCAUUGAAUGGGGGGGAGUGGUUAGUCCUGGGAUGUAGUUGUGUUCUGUAGCAUGAGUGUAAUUAGAAUUUCAGCAGACUGCAUUUAUGAUGGUGUACUUACGUGUAGGUAUGUUGUAUUUUAAUAAGAAUCAGUCUCUGCCAGAAUAUGUAAGCAAAAAGGGGCCACAGAAGGAUUACACAUUUGAAAGACUUGAGAAGGAUUUGAGAAAUGGAAUCAGAUUUGCAUUGGGAAGAUUAAUAGAGGAUGGCCAGAGAGGAGUAACUAAGCUGUUUAUAGAAGUAACCCAGGCAAGCAAUCACGAAGGCUUGAAUUAAAGCAAGAGUGAUAGGGAUGAAAAGGGCUGAGCACAGUGGAUAUUUAGAGAGUAAACAACAGGAUUUGGACAGAUAAAUAAUUCCCCCACCCCCAUUUUUUUGGCUCGAAAAAUGAGAAUGAUAACAGUUCUACAUUGUUGGGCCUCUUUUGAUGAUUUAUCGAAUUAAGGGAGUUUAGUAGUGAUCCUUGUUUACUAUAUAAGGUAUUGAUGGAAAGCUUGAAGAGAAAUACUUCAAUAUGACAAAGUUUAGGCGAGUCUGCCUUCCCCCAAGCACAGGUAAAAGCCACCUCCCUGAUUAAGACUGGUCAGCAUGGAUCGCAGGAUGGAAGGCCAAGGUGAGGAAGGAGUCAGGACAAGUCUGAAUCUGGGCGUGAAUUAGGGCUGAGGUACCAGGAGGGACUCCACUAGGUCUCCAUUCGGGUGGCCAGGAGCACAGCGAACCAAAGGCCUGUGUUGACAUUUCCUCUCCUCAACAGCUCUGCUAAGGGGUGGACUUACGGGAAGGGCGGGGAUUCAGGCCUAGGGGUGGAGUCGCAGCCGGAAAAGUGGCCAAUGGAGCGCGAGCUUCCCCGUUCUUAACCAAUUACGUGCACCGAGGACCACUUCCACCGGUGAUUGGUGGAAGCGUCGCGCAGGAUUCUCGCGAGCUGCAGGCGUGUGUCAAACUCUCGCGAGGGUGUACGUCUUGUCCCAGUCUUGACCGCUUGGUCUUCCUCCUCCAGAUGUUUCCUUGUCUACGGUGCUUUGGACGCCUGUCCUCUGGCUCCAGACCGUGAAUUGAGAGCCUCGAGGAGAGGUGGGCGCAGCCAGGGUCAGUGACAAGCCGCCUCUCCUCAAAACCUGGGCCUGAGGCCAAGGUGAGGCGCGGCCCGAGCUCGGGCUUUACCUGGCGUUCACCUGCCUUCUCCGCGGGGUCCCGAGAGACUCUGCUGCCACUUGGCGGAAGGAACCUGUAAGGAACCUGUAGUGCAGAGCCACCCGAUUAGGCUGCACCAGGUACUACGCUCACUUCCGCUCUGAAAAGUUGCUGAGAGGAACAUUUGAGUGAAAUUUUAUGGGAUCUCACCAAGUUGCUGAGGCCACCCUGGUAAUUAUGAUCUUUCCUGAGCCUGCAGAGCUGCUGGGAAUAAAGGCAUGCACCACUGUGCCCAGCUCUAAAUUUGUUUUAAAUAGAUUUUAAUAUAUAAACUGUUCACAUAUGAAAUUUGGUAUGAAAGGUAGGCAAAUAGAGGUCAAUGUUGAAUCCUACUUUCUUUAUUUAUGAGAAUGAAAUUUCACAGGUUGAGUUUUCAUAAGGCAUUACUGCAGUUCAUAUAUACAUACACUUCAUCCACAAAAACGGACUGAGUUUUGACCUUCACAUUUUCUUUAUUAUUGAGUGUACCUGGUCAUACCCUAAGCUUCAGCUCUAAAUGCAUUUAUUAAAGGGCAGCUUUACUAAAUAAGUGAAAAAUGGUUUCAAAUAGAUAGAAUUCUGAUAAGCCAAGAAAAAAAAUGCGAAAAGAAUUUCAGGGGGCUGGGGUAGCUUAGUGGUAGAUUGCUUGCACUUGUCUGGCACAUGUGAGUCACUGGGUUCAAUACUUAGUACCACAUAAAAACAAACGUAUCCACCUAUAAUAAAUUUUUUUUUAAUUAAAAAAAUUUUUUUCAAUAUGUUUGCCCUUAACUUUUAAGGAGCUAGUUGAAUCUCAUGAGCUCUUCCUUCCCAUAAUAAAUUUUUGAGUUCAACAAUUAUGAAUUUCUUUCAGAAAUUUAUAUUCUUUGCCCCAAUUUCCUUUUUGGUCUCUGCUAUACUGGUGUUUAAGGGUUAUCUCCUGUCAUUAUUAGUAUUCUUGCAACCUAUAAUAUAAAGGACUUAAGUAAGCCCUCUGGUAUCUGACCAGUUUAGUUUUAUUAGUUAAAAUGCAAAACUUCCAUAGCAAUCAUGGUUUAUGGAAAAAAAUUUAAUUGUCUGUGUCACCUCUGGGAUACUGCUGACCAAAGCUAUAUGGCCCACAAGGAAAAAAUUAUAGUUUUUUCCUAUUAUCUUGUUUCUAUUACUAAAAUCUUUUAACUUAGUAUUUUAUACUGUUUAAAUGAAAUUUGUUAAAAGCAUACAUAAAAUGACAUUCUAAUAAACUAAAAACUGACUUUUU